GACGAACGCUGGCGGCGUGCUUAACACAUGCAAGUCGAACGGAAACGCCCUGCUUUUGUGGGGUGCUCGAGUGGCGAACGGGUGAGUAACACGUGAGUAACCUGCCCUUGACUUUGGGAUAACUUCAGGAAACUGGGGCUAAUACCGGAUAGGAGCUCCUGCUGCGUGGUGGGGGUUGGAAAGUUUCGGCGGUUGGGGAUGGACUCGCGGCUUAUCAGCUUGUUGGUGGGGUAGUGGCUUACCAAGGCUUUGACGGGUAGCCGGCCUGAGAGGGUGCCCGGCCACAUUGGGACUGAGAUACGGCCCAGACUCCUACGGGAGGCAGCAGUGGGGAAUAGUGCACAAUGGGCGGAAGCCUGAUGCAGCAACGCCGCGUGCGGUAUGACGGCCUUCGGGUUGUAAACCGCUUUCGCCUGUGACGAAGCGUGAGUGACGGUAAUGGGUAAAGAAGCACCGGCUAACUACGUG
rnacentral:rRNA from 1 species